rnacentral:antisense_RNA from 1 species
CUUGGCAUUUGCCUUACGUGCCAUAAUACUGUUACCUACGGCAUGUAAUAGAUGGGUUUUACCCAAACCGGUACCACCAUA